GCCAGGCAUGGUGGCGUGUGCCUGUAAUCCCAGCUACUUGGGAGGCUGAGGCGGGAGAAUCGCUUGAACCAGGGAGUUGGGAGUUGGAGGUUGCUGUGAGCCGAGAUGACACCUCAGCACUCCAUCCUGGCGACAGAGCGAGACCCCAUCUCAA
ensembl:misc_RNA Metazoa_SRP Metazoan signal recognition particle RNA